AAGCUUUCAUUUUCCCAGCUGCAGAGCUUCUAAAAUCAUGAAAAUCAAUGCCGGUUCCUGUAAAAGGUAAAGCUUAGAGCUAUUUCAUUUACAGAUUAACUGUGGAGCUCUUCAUGAUUGUCAACGUGUGACUUGAAUCAUGUUAUGUUGUAGCAUGAGCCCUUUCCUGAUUAUGAGCUGUAUAUUUUUCCUGGAACAAACCCUCGUUUAUCUUUCAAGCUGAGUUGUGGAAGGAACAAAUGAAAAUUUUGUUAUUCUAAUUGGAAAUAUUGUGGAGAAAGACUUGAUAGUUCUGUCCUAUUUAUAAUUCUGAUAACCUGAAGUGUAUUCGAGACUGAUUGAAAAAUAAGGUAUUGAUGCAUAAAUAUUCAUGAGGGAUUGAUAAAAAAAGUAUCGAUGCCAGCUAUGGAAAGCAGAUUAUAUAUAAAUACUAAUGAGGUGAUGAUGUUCAUAGAUUGCAAAUUGAAGUGGCAGGAAAAGAUCCAAGAAUGCAUAGAAACUGUAAAAUAAGGGAAUGAUCUACAAAAAUAUCAAACAACGGAGGCAUGACUUGAAAAAAUAUGAUGUAAACAUGGAGGCGAUGGCAGAUUCAAGGGAUUAAUUGCAUUGGGAAGAGAUGGAAAGAUAUUAUGGAAGAAUAGAAUAUACAGUAUACAUAUUUUGUGUAAUAUAAUAGUAUUUCUUUUACAUAAGCCUAUGCAAGUAUAAAACACAUAGGCUGCAUCCUACCCCACACAAUUCUCGGUACAUACAAACUGAUAUAAGCUUUACUUUUAAUCAAA